rnacentral:lncRNA from 1 species
AGGGGGUCUAGUUUUAUAGUCCCUUCAAGUGAAUAUGGGCCGUUGGAUCAAACCAACAUUGAUUGAACGGUUAUCCUUGAUCCUUUAGGUCGGUGGAGAUUGAUCCCGAAAGAGAGUCCUGUUUGGACUCUAGGAGGGGGUGGGCGCCCAGGCCUGGCUCCGUUCGGCCUCCGCUUCCUUCCCGUGGCUUCUAGAGUUUUCUAGACGUAAGAUAAUUGCGCGGCACGUUGAUAUCUCUAUGUAAUCACGACGUGUGGGCCUUUCUUCCGAAUUUCCUGAUAACCCCCUGUAGAAAUAGUCAAACACCAAAACUCGUGGAAUUCUGUC